rnacentral:rRNA from 1 species
GGGGAAUAUUGCGCAAUGGGGGAAACCCUGACGCAGCAAUACCGCGUGAGUGAAGAAGGUUUUCGGAUCGUAAAGCUCUGUCUUCGGGGACGAAACAAAUGACGGUACUCGAGGAGGAAGCCACGGCUAACUACGUGCCAGCAGCCGCGGUAAUACGUAGGUGGCAAGCGUUGUCCGGAAUUACUGGGUGUAAAGGGAGCGCAGGCGGAACUGCAAGUUGGGUGUUUAAUCUACGGGCUCAACCCGUAUCAGCAUUCAAAACUGUGGUUCUUGAGUAAUGCAGAGGUAGGCGGAAUUCCCGGUGUAGCGGUGGAAUGCGUAGAUAUCGGGAGGAACACCAGUGGCGAAGGCGGCCUACUGGGCAUCAACUGACGCUGAGGCUCGAAAGCAUGGGUAGCAAACA